ACAUUAUUUUUGGUGCCUAACUGUUUCCCAAGUAUAUUAGUGCGUGUGUGAAUGAAUCAACGAGAGGCAUUCACGUAAAUUUCUUUGUAGAAAGGUGCUUUAUGAAAUUAAGUCCAUUUACUUGUAUUAGUUUACAGCGCAGCCUUGCCACAUCCAAUAUGGCGGCGACGUUGACAUAUCGCAGCAGCGGGCAUACCCACUCAAUGCGGCGUCUACGUAUAUAUGUCUAUGGGUGUCAAUCUUAUGUUUUGAUGCUUAUAGGAGGAGAUAAGAGCGGCCUCCUCCAAUACGAAAAAGGCUCUCGUUUUUCUUGAAAUCUGAUUGGCUCAGCCACAGUCAUCAGUCAUUACUCAUGGCAGACCAGGCUAGUUUGACUGUUAGACAGAAAACAUGGAUAAAGCCGGUAAAAAAGUGGCAUGGAAAAAACUUGAAUAAAAAAAACUUAAAUCUUUACAAGAAGAGGCGGCAAAGUGCUCCAAAAUAACCGACCUGUUUGGCCGCGGCAUUGGUUGACGGGCCGAGGCUGCUGGUGUUGCUAACGACGGAGAUGGAACUGGAGGCGACAGUGCCAUUAUAGCAGGUGGUGCUCCCAGUCCCAAGGACAAUGAAGCUGAGGGACAGACUAACCCCAGUCGUGAUCAGGGCUACCAACUCUCAUGCAUUGGCUGUGAGACACACGCAUUUGAUUGGCUUCACACGCUCUCACACCACACCCCCGAUUUCUCACACUGAAGUGUCCGUCUGAGCCAAGUACCUGUUUUGCGCAAUACACCUCCCGACCGCUAUACUGGAUGUUUGUGGCGCUGUGGCCCAGUUGACACCGGGAUUGCACUCAUUGGGGUAACAAAGAAGUGAGCGUACGGCCUGCCGGAAUUCUAUUUGAAGAAGAAGAGGCAGCAGAGAGCCGUCGAUUUCCCCCGUUCUUGUCAGGUGACAGGGUUAAGUCUGUUCAUGAGGCUUGCCACCAUUGCAAAGCUGGUCCUGGUGUUACCCCACUCCAAUGCAGAUGCAGAAAGAGUGUUUUCUGUGAUGGGACUAAACAAGACUAAAACCAGGAACAGCCUGGCUCUGGAUGGAACCCUGUCAUCAAUAAUGACAAUAAAGCAAUUGACAAUUCAGACACUGACGUGCUGACGUAUUGCGGUAAGCGAGUUGUGUCAUUUCCGGUGUUUCUGUGAUAGCGUCUCUGUACUGCUCUGGUGAAUUCUGCUAGCCUGUUUUCUCACUACAGUUGCUUUAACGUCUACUUCAAGUCUUAACCCACACUGGUUCUGUUUAAGCACUUAUAGCUCUCCUCCUUUCUACGACUUUCUCGCUAAUCUCUUAGCUGUUGUUUGCACGUUACUAGCC